UAUGUGUUUUUGAGGUAAUCUCAGAUCCAGCUCCAAACGGGUGCAAUAUUUUACGUGCCAAAGGAGCGGUACACAAUCUCUAAAACACGAUACCGCGUCCCGCCCCGGGCCAUUCUCUGGAAGCACAGCGUGCCACGUCGCCCGGAAAAGCAACGCCCGUUGGAUCGGGCCAUCGAACGGCCAUGGCAGCCGGCGGGCUCGCGAGCUCCAGGCACCGCCUCCGUCCUCCUGCCCGAGCAGCAGCGCCGCCGUGCCUCGCACCGGCCACCGCGGAUCAGGCCGACGGCUAGGAUCCCGUGCAGGGUACCGGGCCGGGUGACGCCUCCGUCCUCCGGUUCGACCCCCCCUCCCCGGCGCGAGCCGCGGGUCACGCAGCGCUGCCCGUGCCGCCGCGCCGCCCCAAGCUAGGCCACCGAGGAGGACGAGAACGGAGGUGGCCGGAUCCGCACAGGUCAUGGCGGAUCUGAGGUGGCCGGCCCUCUGCCCCCUCGUCCCCCCUCGUCUCGCGACCUCCAAUGUUGGCGGCGGCAGCCGGAUCCGGGCGCUCCGAGCUCCGUGCGGGCGGCCGGCUCGGAGGAGCAGUGCUCACGGCGUCGCGGCCUCGACGUUGGCCUCCCUCUCUGACGACUCCCGUCACGGCGCCGCACCUGCUGCCAUGCGUCCUGCUCUGCUCAGCAUGGCGAUUCUGGAUUUGAUUUUGUUUUGUUUCUCUUGUUUGUGUCCAUCUCAGUUCAUUGCUCCUCGAUUUGCGAUGAUAUUCAUGGUCUCAAUCGUCGCUGUUGGUCUGGGACUCAAGGUUGGAGGAGGACGGCGAGGUGCUGGACAGCAGCUCGGCAGCAUCUGCAGGGGUCUGGAGUAUCUGCAGCUUCCGUGCCCCCCUCCUGCUCCUUCCUGCUCACUAUUGCUGGCGCCAUCGACCUCCCAUGGAUGAGGCCCUCAUUGUGUUCGAUCAAAUGGGCAUAAAGGGCAACUGCAAAACACUUACUAGGUAAUUCCAGCCACACUAUUUCAAGCCCUCUGAUGCUGGCUAGAGAUGGCUAGCCCUGCCAGGUAAUUUGAUUUCCUUUUUUUCUUUGGUCCAUUGCUAUAUGGAUUUAUUUUACAGCAGUUCUCAUGUUACAUGAUAACGCUUCUCUUAGUCAUGUUCUUCUAGCUACGAAAUCUAAUAUACCACAUUAGUUCCUCACCAUUAUAGGGCAUGAGUUAUCAUAGCAAUAUAAUACCACUUUACUGAUAGUCUGAACUUUAAGACAUUAAGUGGAUCAAUAUUGUUUCCUGAAUAUUUCAAGAAUGGUUGAUUGCCUAACUUCAUUGGUUCUAUGAUUUCAAUUAAUUCUUAGAAAUACCAAGGUAGUGUUGUUAAGAUUAAUAGAUUUCUGUGAUUACUGAACUUAUAUUCAGCUUUCCCUUUUUGCCUAGCUCAAGCUUUCAAAGCUGCAGGUAGAGAGCUCAAUGUUUAGGGAUCAUUAUUAAUGCAUAUUUAUUCAAUUGCUGUCAAAAUCCCCACAACAAUCAGAUUGAUGUGUACCAUGGUCUUCUUUGCCACUUCAGAAGCACCUACAGAUCUCAAGCUUCUUUAGCCAAUGUGUAGUUUGAUGCCCAAACUACAGCCUUAAUCUUUUAUAUUCCGUGGCGAAGGAAGUGUUCGAAGGAAAGCAAAAGUAGGAGUAUAUAACUAAUCACAUGGUAUCAUCAGCACAUUAACUUUUUUUCAGCAUACAAGAGGAUGUAGCCAUUAUCAGUGUUGACAAUGAACUCUUGCAGUGAGCCAAAGAAUGCCUGUACCAUAGAUUCUUGUCAGUCAUCUCAACAUUCUCAUCAUCAAAGAAUAACCAAUGAGUGUGGCUCUUAACCAAGCUGAUAUAGUGGCCAUUAUUUGGUCCACUUCCAACAUGAACUACCACGGCGAAAAGGGAGUAACGUUUGGUGGUUUCUUUACCUUCA